CCCAAGAGAUCGGGAUAACACCUGGAAACAGAUGCUAAUACCGGAUAACAACAGAUGAUGCCUAUCAACUGUUUAAAAGAUGGUUCUGCUAUCACUCUUGGAUGGACCUGCGGUGCAUUAGCUAGUUGGUAGGGUAACGGCCUACCAAGGCGAUGAUGCAUAGCCGAGUUGAGAGACUGAUCGGCCACAUUGGGACUGAGACACGGCCCAAACUCCUACGGGAGGCAGCAGGG
rnacentral:rRNA from 1 species